rnacentral:tRNA from 1 species
AAAGCUAGGAUUCUAAACUAAACUAUUCUUU